GCAGUCGAACGCUGAAGCUGGGUGCUUGCACCUGGUGGAUGAGUGGCGAACGGGUGAGUAAUACGUGAGUGACCUUCCUUGGACUCUGGGAUAAGCCCGGGAAACUGGGUCUAAUACCGGAUACGACCAGUCCUCGCAUGGGGUGCUGGUGGAAAGGGUUUGUACUGGUUCUUGAUGGGCUCACGUCCUAUCAGCUUGUUGGUGAGGUAAUGGCUUACCAAGGCGACGACGGGUAGCCGGCCUGAGAGGGUGACCGGCCACACUGGGACUGAGACACGGCCCAGACUCCUACGGGAGGCAGCAGUGGGGAAUAUUGCACAAUGGGCGCAAGCCUGAUGCAGCGACGCCGCGUGGGGGAUGACGGCCUUCGGGUUGUAAACCUCUUUCAGCAGGGAAGAAGCGAAAGUGACGGUACCUGCAGAAGAAGCGCCGGCUAACUACGUGCCAGCAGCCGCGGUAAUACGUAGGGCGCAAGCGUUGUCCGGAAUUAUUGGGCGUAAAGAGCUCGUAGGCGGUUUGUCGCGUCUGCUGUGAAAGCCCGGGGCUCAACCCCGGGUGUGCAGUGGGUACGGGCAGGCUGGAGUGCAGUAGGGGAGACUGGAAUUCCUGGUGUAGCGGUGAAAUGCGCAGAUAUCAGGAGGAACACCGAUGGCGAAGGCAGGUCUCUGGGCUGUUACUGACGCUGAGGAGC
rnacentral:rRNA from 1 species